rnacentral:rRNA from 1 species
UACGUAGGGUGCAAGCGUUAAUCGGAAUUACUGGGCGUAAAGCGUGCGCAGGCGGUUUUGUAAGUCUGUCGUGAAAGCCCCCGGGCUCAACCUGGGGAAUUGCGAUGGAGACUGCAAGGCUUGAAUCUGGCAGAGGGGGGUAGAAUUCCACGUGUAGCAGUGAAAUGCGUAGAGAUGUGGAGGAACACCGAUGGCGAAGGCAGCCCCCUGGGUCAAGAUUGACGCUCAUGCACGAAAGCGUGGGGAGCAAACAGG